rnacentral:rRNA from 1 species
AACGAACGCUGGCGGCGCGCCUAAUACAUGCAAGUCGAGCGAGAAGACGUAGCAAUACGUUUGUAAAGCGGCGAACGGGUGAGGAAUACAUGGGUAACCUACCCUCGAGUGGGGAAGUAACUAGCCGAAGGUUAGCUAAUACCGCGUACGCUUCUUGGACUUCGGUUCAGGGAGGAAAGACGAUGCCGAGGGUAUCGCGCUCUUGGAUGGGCUCAUGUCCUAUCAGCUUGUUGGUGAGGUAACGGCUCACCAAGGCUUCGACGGGUAGCUGGUCUGAGAGGACGAUCAGCCACACUGGCACUG